CUAUUAUUUCUUUUUGUAAAAGUUGAAUUUUUUUUACCUAAGUAUUAUGAAUGUAAUUAAAAUUUAUAUAUAAUUUAUAUUUAAAACUUAAAAGGUUUGGCGGUUUUACAUAUCCAGUUAGGGGAGUUUGUUAAUUUGUUUGAUAAUCCUCAUUUUAAACUUACUUUUUUUUGAAUAUAUAAUUAAUACAGUUUAUAUAUUGCUGUCGUCAGUUUAUCUUUUGAGAAUUAAAAGAACUAAUAUAAUUUUUAGAUUGUUAUGUCAAGUCAUAAUGUAGCUAAUAAAAAAGGUUUAAUGAACUACUAUAGAUAAUGUUUUUAGUAUUGAUCCAGAUAAUAAAAUUUAAAUUUUAUUAGAAAGGUGGACUUAAUAGUAAAAUUAUAAUUAGUAUGUAUAUUUGAAUAAGGUUUUGUAAAGUGU
rnacentral:rRNA from 1 species